AUCCUCCCCCGUGCACUCCCCACAGCCGCCAGCUGCACAGGUGGGUGCGCUCAGCCUGGGAGGCCAGGGGCUGGGUCACUCAGCCUCCCUUUCUCUUCAAACACUAAGGUUGGCCCUGAGGAGAUUGAAGUCAGUCCCCACCCAGCUUCCAGCCGCCUGGAGCGCUCACCUGCUAGCCACUAGUCCCGGACUGUUCCUUAAAGAUGUGCAGCCGAGAAUGUUGUGGAGACAUACCUGUGUUGCUGGUUGCCUGCCGGUCACGCAGGACUGACGCGGGAAAGCGCUACCGGGUGGUGAGCAAGGCUGCCGGGAGCACACGGGGAUGCUGGCUCAGUGGGGUGGGAAGCCAUGGCUUUGAGUUUUCCCAGGUGCUAUUAGAAUGUUGUUUUCAGGGUUUCAGUCAGCUUUUAAUGAUAAUAGUUAAUUGUAACUUUGUGUAACCAACUAAACGUGACAACGGCACAGGCUCUGAAAUGUAGUUGUCAUCUAAAGUAACGCUCCUCCAGGGCAGGCACAGCUGCUUGGUUUCCUCCAAAUAAAAUUUUUCUUAAAAUAAAUUCUACUUUAAAAUGUAAAAGCAUGUUUUGGCCUUUCGCCUGUAAUACUUUACUUAGUUAACUUGCAUGUCCUCAUUGAUCUCUACGGGACAAGGGGUGAUGUUUCCACUCUCAGAUGGAUGAGAGAAGUUGGAGGAGCCACCAAGUUGCCUGUGAGUCUGGUUACUUUUUUUCCAGACAAACUCAGAGUUCCUUCCAUUGCUAACAUUUUCUGAAUAUGAUACUCAGUUCUUUCAAAAAGAAGAUGGAUCUAAGUUUGUGCCUUAAAUUUCAUUAUUGCAAUAAGGAAAGGCAGUUCCCUUCAAGUAUCUUUCCGUUUAAUAGCACCCGUCACAGUGGCAGGUGCUGACAUCAUUUCUAACAAGAUGAGAGAGGGCCCUGGGGGUUUUCUAUUCUCCAGUCCCGAGGACACACCUCCGUCUUUUUUUCCUUGAGCUGCUGUGCAGGUACUGACCGCAUGAAGCGAACUCGUCUCAGCAGGCCUGAUGCCUGCCAAGACCUCCCCUUGGAUAUGCCACUUGUGAAGCUCAUUCGAUCUGCUAACUCAUGGCAACUGGCACUAGAUGUUAGACCUCAGUCCUUGAGUUUUGGCUUAGAAAGAAUUCAGAACCAAGACUCAAAUACAAGAAUAAGUUUCUUUAGAAAGUCACAGAAGAGGAGAAGUGAGCCAUGGAAGAAGUGAGACAGCUGGGCUGCAGACUCAGGAAACAAGUUACAGAGGCAAAAGAAGGGCCCUUGGAGCUUAGGAGAAAGACAGGCAAGAAUCCACGCCUAGGGGAAGGCGAGGGGAGAAGGUGUGGGCAUGCUCUAGAGAGCAAGUGAGCAGGCAGGCAUACCUCUGUGUUUGCAGGCUCCACACCCUUCCCAAUGUCAAAUGCUUGGGGCCUCCUGUUAUGGACUGAAUUGGGCUUCCCGUCCAAUUCAUGUGUUGAAGCCUAAACCCCAGUGUGACUGUAACUGGAGAUAGGGCCCUUGUGGAGGGCAUUCAUGUUGAAGGACGUCAUAAGGCUGGGGUUGUGAUCCGGUGGUCCGGGGUCCUCAUAAGAAGAGACAGUGAUGUCGUGCUCUCUGCACACACACACAGAUGCCACCGUGUGAGGGCACAGCAAGAGGCAGUCAUCUGCAAGCCAAGGAGAGGAGCUUCACCAGAAACUGACCCUGCAGCACCUUGAUUUUGGAGUUCCAGUCUCCAGAACUGUGAGGGAGUAAAUGUCUGUUGCUUCAGCCACCCAGUCUGUGAUAUUGGACACCUCCAAAGUGCUGAGAGGGGUCUGAGUUUGCUCUAAAAAAAUAUUUCCUUCAAGAGCUCAAUCCUAAGAAAAGCCCUUACACUUGUACUCUUGUCCCCUUGACAACACCCGUCAGCUCUGCCUAGAGGUAGCCCUGUCUGCUGCUGUCCAUCUCCAGACACCAGGCCUCUCUCCGGAUACCUCCAUGCGCAUCAUUAUUUGAGAAGUUCUGCCAAAGAAACCCAGACUUCUGGGGGAGUCCUGUGCAGUUCUGGGUGAAACCCUGGUCUCUAAAUCUCACAGAGUGUUCCAGGGAUUCUAGAAGCUUCUCUGGAGACUAUACUACUAGUAUGUGGUGGCUGGGGCUGUCGCAACAGCUGAUGACUCCACUCAGUGUAGAACACGAGAAUCACUUGGAAACAUGACCUGGCUACAUGGUGGACCUGAGGUCAUCACAAGGGUCCUUACUAGAGGGAAGCAGGAGGUCUGAGUCAGAGGACAUGUGACAACAGGGUCAGAGUGAUGAAGGUCCAUGUGCCAAGAAGGGGGAAGACUCUGGAAACUUCAGAGAAACAAAUUCCUCCUUAAAGACUCCAGAGGGAACACGCUCUGUUGACACCUUGAUUUUCUCCCGCUAGAACCGUUGUGGACUUCUGACUUCCAGAACUACAAGGUUCCUGGAAGGAUGUCAUGCCGUGACCUGCACUGGCUGCCCUGACACAGUUGCAGUCACUGUCCUUCGCUUCAUGACCGCAGCUGCGGUCAAGGGCCAUGGGCCCAGCAGCCUUCCCUGCCACGUGCCUGUCCUGGGGACCCACAGCAGAUGCUCUGGGGGCAGAGCUACUGGGGGUAGGAGAGGACGAGAGCAUGGUCCUGCCCUCUGCAUAGCAGCAGCCCCUGGGCAUCUCAGGACUGUGCCUCCGUGUUCCCCAGCCCAGCU